rnacentral:tRNA from 1 species
GGGACCGUAGUUCAGGAGGAGAAUGCCGGCCUGGCGUGUCGGCGACGAGGGUGCGACUCCCUCCGGUUCCACCA